rnacentral:rRNA from 1 species
UACAGAGGUCCCAAGCGUUGUUCGGAUUCAUUGGGCGUAAAGGGUGCGUAGGCGGCGCGGUAAGUCGGGUGUGAAAUCUCGGAGCUUAACUCCGAAACUGCAUUCGAUACUGCCGUGCUUGAGGACUGGAGAGGAGACUGGAAUUUACGGUGUAGCGGUGAAAUGCGUAGAUAUCGUAAGGAAGACCAGUGGCGAAGGCGGGUCUCUGGACGGUACUGACGCUGAGGCGCGAAAGCGUGGGGAGCAAACAGG